AUGAACGCUGGCGGCGUGCCUAAUACAUGCAAGUCGAGCGAACGGACGAGAAGCUUGCUUCUCUGAUGUUAGCGGCGGACGGGUGAGUAACACGUGGAUAACCUACCUAUAAGACUGGGAUAACUUCGGGAAACCGGAGCUAAUACCGGAUGAUAUUUUGAACCGCAUGGUUCAAAAGUGAAAGACGGUCUUGCUGUCACUUAUAGAUGGAUCCGCGCUGCAUUAGCUAGUUGGUAAGGUAACGGCUUACCAAGGCAACGAUGCAUAGCCGACCUGAGAGGGUGAUCGGCCACACUGGAACUGAGACACGGUCCAGACUCCUACGGGAGGCAGCAGUAGGGAAUCUUCCGCAAUGGGCGAAAGCCUGACGGAGCAACGCCGCGUGAGUGAUGAAGGUCUUCGGAUCGUAAAACUCUGUUAUUAGGGAAGAACAUAUGUGUAGGUAACUGUGCACAUCUUGACGGUACCUAAUCAGAAAGCCACGGCUAACUACGUG
rnacentral:rRNA from 1 species